GCACUAAGGGUCUGAUCCAAAACCCACUGAAGUCAAUGGGAGUUUUUUCAUUAACUUCAAAGGGAUUUGGAUCAAGCCCCAACCAC
rnacentral:pre_miRNA from 1 species